AAAAGAUAACCGCUGAAAGCAUCUAAGCGGGAAACUUGCCUCAAGAUGAGAUCUCACUGGGAACUUGAUUCCCCUGAAGGGCCGUCGAAGACUACGACGUUGAUAGGCUGGGUGUGUAAGCGUUGUGAGGCGUUGAGCUAACCAGUACUAAUUGCCCGUGAGGCUUGACCAUAUAACACCCAAACA
rnacentral:rRNA from 1 species